rnacentral:rRNA from 1 species
CCUACGGGAGGCAGCAGUGGGGAAUAUUGGGCAAUGGAGGAAACUCUGACCCAGCAACGCCGCGUGAAUGAUGAAGGUCUUCGGAUUGUAAAGUUCUUUUCUAAGGGAAGAAGAUAGUGACGGUACCUUAGGAAUAAGCCUCGGCUAACUACGUGCCAGCAGCCGCGGUAAUACGUAGGAGGCAAGCGUUAUCCGGAAUGACUGGGCGUAAGGGGUGCGUAGGUGGUUUGACAAGUUGGUAGCGAAACUCCGGGGCGCAACCUCGGAACUGCAAUCGAAACUGUCGGACUUGAGUGGAGGAGAGGCAAAUGGAAUUCCUGGUGUAGCGGUGGAAUGCGUAGAUAUUAGGAGGAACACCAGUGGCGAAGGCGAUUUGCUGGACUGUAACUGACACUGAGGCACGAAAGCGUGGGGAGCAAACAGGAUUAGAUACCCCAGUAGUC